AUCCAGUUGACGAGUCCUAAACAGGACGAAACGCGCGUCCUGGAU
rnacentral:hammerhead_ribozyme from 1 species